UGUUCUUUCAUGCUAAAGUAUGACAAAACUACCCAUAUAAAUAUACCAGUCAGUGAUAUAUAACCCCAUACUCCUUGAAAUCUGAAUAUUUUCAUAAAUAACUUGUGCAAAGUUAAACAAAGAGGAAAAAAUACACGCUUUUUGCUGAAAAAUGUACUGAUUUGUGCUUUGCAGGGAUACCAUGCUCAUCUUUUAUGCAGGUUUCUAUACCCAAGUAUGCUUGUUCAAUGUGAAAUACUAAGUUUAUUAUUUUAAUUUGGUUAUUUUCUGUCAUCCAGGGAUGCACAUCUGAUUGGGAUUAUGAUCGUCAUGAUUCAGUCGCGGCUGGUUACUCCCAGACUGCUGGAAACAAGAAAGCGAUGAAGCAGCACCUGUCCGACAGCACGAAGCAGCAGGAAAAGAAAAGAAUAAAACGUGUUUCAGUGGGUGAAGCAGGCCUGCUGUUCCUCCUGUUGCUGUGAAACGCAGACGGACGAUUGAAUGCAUUUUACUGGGAAAGGUUCUGUUGAUCUGAGACGGGCGAGGCUGCAGAACCAGGAGAACACGCGGAGAAUCAGGCGAGUGGAGGAUGAAUCUGGCCUGAAAAGCUUGUUUCCAUCUGACCGCCUGCUGCCGUCUCUCAGACGCAUUGAUCAGGACGGUCGUUGGGCUUUAAGGAGCCGCCGGGCUCCUGCUGCAGCGCCGCAGAGAGGAGGAGGAGGAGGAGGAAGAGGAAGAGGAGGAGG